CCUGGUGGCUCAGAUGGUAAAGCGUCUGCCUGCAAUGCGGGAGACCUGGGUUCGAUUCCCGGGUCAGGA
rnacentral:tRNA from 1 species